UUCCGGUUGAUCCCGCCGGACCUGACUGCUAUCGGAUUGAUACUAAGCCAUGCUAGUCUUUGUAGUAAUACAAGGCAUACGGCUCAGUAACGCGUAGUCAACCUACCCUAUGGACGGGGAUAAUCUCGGGAAACUGAGCAUAAUACCCGGUAGACCACUUAUCCUGGAAUGGUUAGUGGUUAAAAUGAUUCGUCGCCAUAGGAUGGGACUGCGGCCUAUCAGCUUGUUGGUGAGGUAAUGGCCCACCAAGGCGAUUACAGGUACGGGCUCUGAGAGGAGAAGCCCGGAGAUGGGUACUGAGACAAGGACCCAGGCCCUAUGGGGCGCAGCAGGCGAGAAAACUUUGCAAUGUGCGAAAGCACGACAAGGUUAAUCCGAGUGAUUUCUGCUAAAGGAAUCUUUUGUUAGUUCUAAAAAUACUAGUGAAUAAGGGGUGGGCAAGUUCUGGUGUCAGCCGCCGCGGUAAAACCAGCACCUCAAGUGGUCAGGAGGAUUAUUGGGCCUAAAGCAUCCGUAGCCUGUUCUAUAAGUUUGCGGUUAAAUCUAUACGCUCAACGUAUAGGCUGCCGUAAAUACUGUAGAACUAGGGAGUGGGAGAGGUAGACGGUACUCGAUAGGAAGGGGUAAAAUCCUUUGAUCUAUUGAUGACCACCUGUGGCGAAGGCGGUCUACCAGAACACGUUCGACGGUGAGGGAUGAAAGCUGGGGGAGCAAACCGGAUUAGAUACCCGGGUAGUCCCAGCUGUAAACGAUGCAGACUCGAUGAUGCAAUGGCAUAGAGCUAUUGCAGUAUCGCAGGGAAGCCGUUAAGUCUGCCGCCUGGGAAGUACGUACGCAAGUAUGAAACUUAAAGGAAUUGGCGGGGGAGCACCACAAGGGGUGAAGCCUGCGGUUCAAUUGGAUUCAACGCCGGG
rnacentral:rRNA from 1 species